AUGUACCUCGCGUACACUCCGGUUCUGAGCGCGCCGUCCGCGCCCACCUGACACCUGCUCGCUACGUUUUGUUAGCC
rnacentral:sRNA from 4 species